UACGUAGGGGGCAAGCGUUGUCCGGAAUUAUUGGGCGUAAAGAGCGUGUAGGCGGCCAGAUAAGUCCGCUGUGAAAUCUUGAGGCUCAACUUCGAGCUGUCGGUGGAAACUAUCUGGCUAGAGUCCGGAAGAGGAGAAUGGAAUUCCUGGUGUAGCGGUGAAAUGCGCAGAUAUCAGGAAGAACACCCGUGGCGAAGGCGGUUCUCUGGGACGGUACUGACGCUGAGACGCGAAAGCGUGGGGAGCGAACAGG
rnacentral:rRNA from 1 species